rnacentral:rRNA from 1 species
AGUGAACGCUGGCGGUAGGCCUAACACAUGCAAGUCGAACGGCAGCACAGUAAGAGCUUGCUCUUACGGGUGGCGAGUGGCGGACGGGUGAGGAAUACAUCGGAAUCUACUUUUUCGUGGGGGAUAACGUAGGGAAACUUACGCUAAUACCGCAUACGACCUACGGGUGAAAGCAGGGGAUCUUCGGACCUUGCGCGAUUGAAUGAGCCGAUGUCGGAUUAGCUAGUUGGCGGGGUAAAGGCCCACCAAGGCGACGAUCCGUAGCUGGUCUGAGAGGAUGAUCAGCCACACUGGAACUGAGAAACGGUCCAGACUCCUACGGGAGGCAGCAGUGGGGAAUAUUGGACAAUGGGCGCAAGCCUGAACCAGCCAUACCGCGUGGGUGAAGAAGGCCUUCGGGUUGUAAAGCUCUUUUGUUGGGAAAGAAAAGCAGCAGGUUAAUACCCCGCGGUUCUGACGGUACCCAAAGAAUAAGCACCGGCUAACUUCGUG